UGUGGAAUAUUGGACAAUGGGCGAAAGCCUGAUCCAGCCAUGCCGCGUGUGUGAAGAAGGUCUUCGUAUUGUAAAGCACUUUAAGUUGGGAUGCAGGGCAGUAAGCGAAUACCUUGCUGUCUUGACGUUACCGACAGAAUAAGCCCCGGCUAACUCUGUGCCAGCAGCCGCUGUAAUACAGAGGGUGCAAGCGUUAAUCGGAAUUACUUGGCGUAAAGCGCGCGUAGGUGGUUCGUUAAGUUGAAUGUGAAAGCCCCGGGCUCAACCUGGGAAGUGCAUCCAAAACUGGCGAGCUAGAGUAGGGCAGAGGGUGGUGGAAUUUCCUGUGUAGCGGUGAAAUGCGUAGAUAUAGGAAGGAACACCAGUGGCGAAGGCGACCACCUGGGCUCAUACUGACACUGAGGUGCGAAAGCGUGGGGAGCAAACAGG
rnacentral:rRNA from 1 species